rnacentral:rRNA from 1 species
GACGAACGCUGGCGGCGUGCUUAACACAUGCAAGUCGAACGGAAAGGCCCUGCUUUUGUGGGGUGCUCGAGUGGCGAACGGGUGAGUAACACGUGAGUAACCUGCCCUUGACUUUGGGAUAACUUCAGGAAACUGGGGCUAAUACCGGAUAGGAGCUCCUGCUGCAUGGUGGGGGUUGGAAAGUUUCGGCGGUUGGGGAUGGACUCGUGGCUUAUCAGCUUGUUGGUGGGGUAGUGGCUUACCAAGGCUUUGACGGGUAGCCGGCCUGAGAGGGUGACCGGCCACAUUGGGACUGAGAUACGGCCCAGACUCCUACGGGAGGCAGCAGUGGGGAAUAUUGCACAAUGGGCGGAAGCCUGAUGCAGCAACGCCGCGUGCGGGAUGACGGCCUUCGGGUUGUAAACCGCUUUCGCCUGUGACGAAGCGUGAGUGACGGUAAUGGGUAAAGAAGCACCGGCUAACUACGUGCCAGCAGCCGCGGUGAUACGUAGGGUGCGAGCGUUGUCCGGAUUUAUUGGGCGUAAAGGGCUCGUAGGUGGUUGAUCGCGUCGGAAGUGUAAUCUUGGGGCUUAACCCUGAGCGUGCUUUCGAUACGGGUUGACUUGAGGAAGGUAGGGGAGAAUGGAAUUCCUGGUGGAGCGGUGGAAUGCGCAGAUAUCAGGAGGAACACCAGUGGCGAAGGCGGUUCUCUGGGCCUUUCCUGACGCUGAGGAGCGAAAGCGUGGGGAGCGAACAGGCUUAGAUACCCUGGUAGUCCACGCUGUAAACGGUGGGUACUAGGUGUGGGGUCCAUUCCACGGGUUCCGUGCCGUAGCUAACGCUUUAAGUACCCCGCCUGGGGAGUACGGCCGCAAGGCUAAAACUCAAAGGAAUUGACGGGGCCCCGCACAAGCGGCGGAGCAUGCGGAUUAAUUCGAUGCAACGCGUAGAACCUUACCUGGGUUUGACAUGGAUCGGGAGUGCUCAGAGAUGGGUGUGCCUCUUUUGGGGUCGGUUCACAGGUGGUGCAUGGCUGUCGUCAGCUCGUGUCGUGAGAUGUUGGGUUAAGUCCCGCAACGAGCGCAACCCUUGUUCACUGUUGCCAGCACGUUAUGGUGGGGACUCAGUGGAGACCGCCGGGGUCAACUCGGAGGAAGGUGGGGAUGACGUCAAGUCAUCAUGCCCCUUAUGUCCAGGGCUUCACGCAUGCUACAAUGGCUGGUACAGAGAGUGGCGAGCCUGUGAGGGUGAGCGAAUCUCGGAAAGCCGGUCUCAGUUCGGAUUGGGGUCUGCAACUCGACCUCAUGAAGUCGGAGUCGCUAGUAAUCGCAGAUCAGCAACGCUACGGUGAAUACGUUCCCGGG